rnacentral:rRNA from 1 species
GACGAACGCUGGCGGCGCGCCUAACACAUGCAAGUCGAACGAGCGAGAGAGAGCUUGCUUUCUCGAGCGAGUGGCGAACGGGUGAGUAACGCGUGAGGAACCUGCCUCAAAGAGGGGGACAACAGUUGGAAACGACUGCUAAUACCGCAUAAGCCCACGGUGCCGCAUGGCACAAGGGGAAAAGGAGCAAUCCGCUUUGAGAUGGCCUCGCGUCUGAUUAGCUAGUUGGUGAGGUAAUGGCCCACCAAGGCGACGAUCGGUAGCCGGACUGAGAGGUUGAACGGCCACAUUGGGACUGAGACACGGCCCAGACUCCUACGGGAGGCAGCAGUGGGGAAUAUUGCACAAUGGGGGAAACCCUGAUGCAGCGACGCCGCGUGGAGGAAGAAGGUCUUCGGAUUGUAAACUCCUGUUGUUGGGGAAGAUACUGACGGUACCCAACAAGGAAGUGACGGCUAACUACGUG